GCAGGAACAGCACACAAACUCAACACUUGAACAGAAAAAAUAACGCCUGGGGAAGGAACCAAAGGGAGUGACAUAUAUAGGGAAGUUAAUCAGGGAGGUGAUGGAGUCCUGAUGGCCAAAGCAAAAGGUCAAACCCCUCUCUCCCAGUUGGCCUUCAGAGAGCAGCUGGUGUUGGAAAUUGCUGAAUUAUGGGCCCAGAGCAACCUCACAACCAUCACAAGACCCCCCACUCAAGGAAUCACCUGCCUUCAUCUGACUUGAGAUCAACCUGAGAUGGCUCCUGUUCACUCAACUCCUCAUCAUCACUACUCUCCUCUGACAAGUCCUGCGAAGGCUCCACAGUCUUGGAUUAAUUUCCAAAUAGGCUUUCUUUCUCCAACGACUCAUGGCGGAGG
ensembl:lncRNA